UCCCCGGUGGUCCAGUGGUAAGGACUCUGCGCUUCCCCUGCAGGGAGCAUGGGUUCGAUCCCUGGUUGAGGAA
rnacentral:tRNA from 1 species